rnacentral:tRNA from 1 species
GGAGAGGUGGCUGAAUUGGCUGAAAGCACUUCCCUGCUAAGGAAGCAUGGGGUAACCCAUUGCAGGUUCGACUCCUGUCCUCUCCGCCU